UUGCGUCUUAGCUCAGUUGGUAGAGCGCACCCCUGAUAAGGGUGAGGUCACUGGUUCAAGUCCAGUAGAUGCAACCAG
rnacentral:tRNA from 1 species